GACGAACGCUGGCGGCGUGCCUAAUACAUGCAAGUAGAACGCUGAAGGAGGAGCUUGCUUCGCUGGAUGAGUUGCGAACGGGUGAGUAACGCGUAGGUAACCUGCCUGGUAGCGGGGGAUAACUAUUGGAAACGAUAUCUAAUACCGCAUAAUAGUAGAUGUUGCAUGACAUUUGCUUAAUAGGUGCAAUUGCAUCACUACCAGAUGGCCCUGCGUUGUAUUAGCUAGUUGGUGGGGUAACGGCUCACCAAGGCGACGAUACAUAGCCGACCUGAGAGGGGACUCGCCCAAGCUGGGAUGGAGACAUGGCCCAGCCCCCUACGGGAGGCAGCCGUCGGGGAUCUUUGGCGAUGGCAGGAAUGCGGACCGAGCAACGCCGCGUGAGUGCAGAAGGUUUUCGGGUCGUGAAGCUCAUUUGUGAGUGAAGAACGAGUGUGAGAGUGGAAAGGUCACACUGUGACGGUACCGUACCAGAAAGGUACGGCUAACUACGUG
rnacentral:rRNA from 1 species